UAAGAAACUGUUAAAAGAAGUCUGUGACGCUGAACAGUUAGAUAUUACCCAGAGGGUGGAAAGGUAAUAAAAGUGAUUCAUCUGAUGUCAAGACUAACCUAGUCUUGUUUAACUAGUUAUAGCUCACAAAAAGAAAAAAUUGCCUCUACGUUUACUGUUAAGCUUUUUUUAAAAAACCCAAAAGUUUUUUGAGAAUUUUGAUGGAAAAUCCUAAUGUGAUGUUUUCACUGUCCCUGUGCUAUUGAGACGUACUGUUCAAGUACUGCUUGUGAUACAUGGCAUGAAUAAAUUCGUGCUAAAGUUAUAAUCUUGUCUGACAAGAAUCCUAGCAUAUUUCCAGGAAACCUUCCCUGACGAGAUUAUAGUGAUAUGCAGCAAGGCCAACAUGAAUAUUCAUCUGCAAGGGGCAUAUCUCCAAGAAACCCCCAUCCGAUAAGACUGCACUCAUAAAUAUUCAUCUGCAAGAAGUGCAUUUCCAAGAAACCUGACGAAAUUACAACAUAUAUGCCCAGCAUGAAUAUUUGUAUGCAAGCAGUGUAUUCUAAAGGACCACCGAAGAGCCUGAAAACAUAUAAAAAGCACCUUGGGAUAGUUGCAGUUUGUGAAGCAUGACUGCUGACAACUGAAGCAGCAACCCACACCAGGGAACGAGGGUGGAUCCAUGCCAAUCAAAAGACCAGUGAAAGAACCUGAAGAGUGGACUGUAACAUCUAAACCAGGUGAUACCAAAUUGACACUUAAGUGGGGACUGGGUAGUAAUGAACUGGGGCAAUCCAAAUGAUCCAAGGAAUGUACAAAGCAUCACGCCAAUCCAGGAAGUAAGGCUAAGCUUAUAUCAUUGGUUUUGAGUGCUGCCUGGACAAGUUCUGAAACACCUUUGAUACCCACCUUGGGGAAGAAUACCUCCACUUCAAACAGGAGGAUCAGGACUGUUUCAGUCAAGAGAUCCUCAUGUUCUGGCUUUAGCCUGUGACUUAUAUAAAGAAGUGGGGGGGGAUUACAAUUUUCAUGAGUGCCAUACCAUAUUCCCUGACUGAAUCAUGCCAAUACUGAACAUACUAACUGGGUUAAAAGUAAAUGUUUAAAUUGUAGAAAAAUUGGUAUUGCAGUUCAUGAAGUUAAGCCUCUCAUUGCAUGAAGUGUUGUAUGCCAAAUCUAUUAAGAACAACUUAAAUAAUAACUUUGCUUUGUGGAUGGGAAUUACUAGUUCCUGUUGAAUAGGAAAUACCUGAGGAAUGGUGGGAGACUUUGGUUAAGAGGUGUCAAAAACAAUUUACCUAGAAAUUGCAAAAAAAGGAAGUGACAAAGAAAUAGAGAGCAAGACCAGGUUGGCUGCUUUACUUGCCACCAAGAUCAUAUACACCUCUUAUGGGCUAGAAACCCCAUAGGCAUGGGAGGUGGGAGUAUAAGACAUACCAGACCUCUGUUAGUCCUUCUUCUGUCACUUAUCUUUGUCUUUUCCCUUUCAAGACACUGGCAAGGCCAUGUUACAAAUGCUACUGAAAGCUUUACAUGGAAAAACACUGCAGUUCCUUUUUUAUUACUCACACCUAUGUCAACAGUCACUGUUAUGACCUAAUCAAAUUAAGUACUUGUAUGCAAAAUGGGAAAAAAUAUUGAAUUGCAGAAAAUCUAGGAACAAGUGGUAACAGAUUGAGAAACGCAUGUCCAAAAGGAGAGAAAUGGAUUUGUUUCACAUUUGCCAGUAGGGAGAAAAGUCCAAGAUUUGGCAAAAGAACAACUGGUAAGCAAAAAGGCAAAGCCAGCACAGCAAUCUAGCCCUGUAUUAACCUCAUGUCAAGACCUGUAUACAAAGCUUAAACAGCAGUUAAACAGGGAAAUAGAUAUCUCAAGAUUGGGAAAGAACCAGUUUGUGGAAUUAGGGGAAAGGGUAAGUAAGGAACUUAACAUAACCAACUGUUGGGUCUGUGGAGGGGCUUUGAUGACAGAGGAAUGGCCAUGGAAAGGCAGUAGUUUAAGCUCAGUGGAACUCCUUAAGUGGAACCAGACAAAUAUAAGAGAGGGGAGCUGACCAGAAGGGUGGGUUCUAAGUUCAGCAGUGAUAAGGGAAGAAUGUCUCUGGUGUACUGGGAAAAAUUUUCUUAACGAAGUAAUAAAUACUCCCUGAAAAAGGUAUAAAAGUUAGUAAUGGAACUUCUACAUGGUGGAUCCCAGAGGAAUCAACUCUGUAUUGGACUCAGAGAAAGACAAAAGAAAAGAAUUGGAAGUGUGAUAAUGAAACCAGGCUCUUCCAAUGUAAUGAAUUUUACAGGAAAAAUCAUUAUUUUAGAAUGCCAGAAAUAUCCAAAUUUUAGGAAAAUAUAAAUCAAUAUGAAAAAAAUAAUUAUUGGAAAGCACCAAAUAGCUUAUUUUGGAUAUGUGGGGAAAGAACAUACUCAAGACUCCUUUCACAGUGGAAAGGGAGUUGUACCCUGGGAAUCAUUCAGACGGAGUUUUGCCUCUUACCAGGACUAGAUGAAGAUCAAUUAGGAGUACCAGUUUAUGAAGACCUAAAAAGAAAUAAAAGGGAAUUGAUUGAAGGAUUUAAAAAAUGAGGGAAUGAGACAUGGCCUCCUGAAUGCAUAUAGGAAACAUAUGGGCACAAGAUGGAAGUUGGGGAUAUUGAACCCAAAUUUAUAUCCUAAAUUGUAUCAUAGGUCUCCAAGCUGUUGUAGAAAUAAUAACUAAUGAAACAGCUGGAGCCAUGGAAUUAACAGUUAGUUAGCAAUGCCAACUCAGAACUGCAGUGUAUCAGAAUAGGUUGGCCUCAAACUAUUUAUUGGCUGAAGAAGGAGGUGUUUGUGGGAAAUUUGAUACAUCAGAUUGUUGUUUAAAAAUUGAUGACAACGGAGAUGCUGUUCUAGAUAUCGCCAAGAAUAUCAGAAAAAUAGCCCAUGUACCAGGACAGAAAUGAGAAUCAAUGCUGACCACUAGCUGGUGGGAUAGUGUAUUUGGGAUAAAAUGGUGGAAGAAGCUAGGUUUCUUCCUCUUAUGUGCUACAGCUAGUUUAAUAUUUCUUCCUUGCUUGAUCCUCUGUUUAAUUCGGCUAAUAACCAGUAUAGUCCAAGGCAUACAGGUGGUAACAAUGCCUAUAGACCCAAAAUUGGCUGCAUCUGGAACAGCACAAAAGAUCAUGGUAUUGAAGAAACAAAAUAAUACAGAAGACUCUUGAAGAAGCUAAAUUGAUUUGUGGGAAAAAAAAAAAGAGUGAAUAAUAGAUGCCAGAAAACCAGAAUUACUGCUCAAGACAAAUGAUUUAUAAAACAGAAGAGGGGAGAUUGUUAUAAAUACAUAUUAUAAUAUUGGCUUUUCACAAGUAUUAAAAUGAAUGUUAAAUGUAUAAUGUUAAAAUGGCUUUCCUGUAUGAAUGUAUUUUUUUCUCUUCUAUUAGCAAAUAAAUUCUUUUGCUAUUAGCAAAAAAUUUAGGCAUAAGUGGUAAUAGUCGAUAUGGUAUGUUUGAACUGCCUGCCAGUUAGGAUAAACUCCAGUGAACAGAUGAUGGGGACCUGACUGCUAUCAACACUCACUGCCUGUGGAAAGAAGGAACCAAAGCCCAAAUUAAAAGAUGAUAAGAAAGGUAUUAAAACCACAAGCCAAGAAAUGCGCAUGCUCUAAAAAGGCAGAUCCAAAGAGUGGCCAUGCAAAAUAGAUCCCGGGAAAUGUAAACUAUUUAAUAGAAAAGUUUGAAUAUGCAUGAAGCCUAUGAAUAUGCAUCAAGUUGUUGCAAUAGAAAUGGUGUAUAAAGGGUGUUACCAAAACACCAGGUGUAUUGUUGGCAGAGUGCCAAGCACUUGGCCAUUUUAACCCUUUGCUUUGUUAUCUUUGUCUCCUAUUGCCGUUUAUUAAACCUUUUAAAAUUUA